AUUGAACGCUGGCGGCAGGCUUAACACAUGCAAGUCGAGCGGGGAAAAGUAGCUUGCUACUGGACCUAGCGGCGGACGGGUGAGUAAUGCUUAGGAAUCUGCCUAUUAGUGGGGGACAACGUCUCGAAAGGGAUGCUAAUACCGCAUACGUCCUACGGGAGAAAGCAGGGGACCUUCGGGCCUUGCGCUAAUAGAUGAGCCUAAGUCGGAUUAGCUAGUUGGUGGGGUAAAGGCCUACCAAGGCGACGAUCUGUAGCGGGUCUGAGAGGAUGAUCCGCCACACGGGGACUGAGACACGGCCCAGAUUCCUACGGGAGGCAGCAGUGGGGAAUAUUGGCCAAUGGGGUGAACCCUGAUCCAGCCAUGCCGCGUGUGUGAAGAAGGCCUUUUGGUUGUAAAGCACUUUAAACGAGGAGGAGGCUACCGAGAUUAAUACUCUUGGAUAGUGGACGUUACUCGCAGAAUAAGCACCGGCUAACUCUGUGCCAGCCGCCGCAGUAAAAC
rnacentral:rRNA from 1 species